AUACCUUUCUCGGCCUUUUGGCUAAGAUCAAGUGUAGUAUCUGUUCUUAUCAGUUUAAUAUCUGAUAUGUGGGCCAUUGGCUCACACGAUAUUAAAUUCAUUUUUUAAUUAUUUUUA
rnacentral:snRNA from 1 species